rnacentral:sRNA from 1 species
GUGACGCAGGACAACGCCUGCCACGCGUCGGAACUCGGCCGCGGGACAUCCACGGGGCGCGAGUGACACACGGGAGGGAGAGCAGUGUUCUGCUGGAGCCGAUGCCAAAAACCAUGCAUUUCUUAUUCAGAUUCAUUGUUUUCUUUUAUCUGUGGGGCCUUUUUACUGCUCAGAGACAAAAGAAAGAGGAGAGCACCGAAGAAGUGAAAAUAGAAGUUUUGCAUCGUCCAGAAAACUGCUCUAAGACAAGCAAGAAGGGAGACCUACUAAAUGCCCAUUAUGACGGCUACCUGGCUAAAGACGGCUCGAAAUUCUACUGCAGAUAAACCUCUACUUGCAAAGGGAAUUUGAAAAAGAUGAGAAGCCACGUGACAAGUCAUAUCAGGAUGCAGUUUUAGAAGAUAUUUUUAAGAAGAAUGACCAUGAUGGUGAUGGCUUCAUUUCUCCCAAAGAAUACAAUGUAUACCAACACGAUGAACUAUAGCAUAUUUGUAUUUCUACUUUUUUUUUUAGCUAUUUACUGUACUUUAUGUAUAAAACAAAGUCACUUUUCU